rnacentral:rRNA from 1 species
GACGAACGCUGGCGGCGUGCUUAACACAUGCAAGUCGAACGGAAAGGCCCUGCUUUUGCGGGGUGCUCGAGUGGCGAACGGGUGAGUAACACGUGAGUAACCUGCCCUUGACUUUGGGAUAACUUCAGGAAACUGGGGCUAAUACCGGAUAGGAGCUCCUGCUGCAUGGUGGGGGUUGGAAAGUUUCGGCGGUUGGGGAUGGACUCGCGGCUUAUCAGCUUGUUGGUGGGGUAGUGGCUUACCAAGGCUUUGACGGGUAGCCGGCCUGAGAGGGUGACCGGCCACAUUGGGACUGAGAUACGGCCCAGACUCCUACGGGAGGCAGCAGUGGGGAAUAUUGCACAAUGGGCGGAAGCCUGAUGCAGCAACGCCGCGUGCGGGAUGACGGCCUUCGGGUUGUAAACCGCUUUCGCCUGUGACGAAGCGUGAGUGACGGUAAUGGGUAAAGAAGCACCGGCUAACUACGUGCCAGCAGCCGCGGUGAUACGUAGGGUGCGAGCGUUGUCCGGAUUUAUUGGGCGUAAAGGGCUCGUAGGUGGUUGAUCGCGUCGGAAGUGUAAUCUUGGGGCUUAACCCUGAGCGUGCUUUCGAUACGGGUUGACUUGAGGAAGGUAGGGGAGAAUGGAAUUCCUGGUGGAGCGGUGGAAUGCGCAGAUAUCAGGAGGAACACCAGUGGCGAAGGCGGUUCUCUGGGCCUUUCCUGACGCUGAGGAGCGAAAGCGUGGGGAGCGAACAGGCUUAGAUACCCUGGUAGUCCACGCUGUAAACGGUGGGUACUAGGUGUGGGGUCCAUUCCACGGGUUCCGUGCCGUAGCUAACGCUUUAAGUACCCCGCCUGGGGAGUACGGCCGCAAGGCUAAAACUCAAAGGAAUUGACGGGGCCCCGCACAAGCGGCGGAGCAUGCGGAUUAAUUCGAUGCAACGCGUAGAACCUUACCUGGGUUUGACAUGGAUCGGGAGCGCUCAGAGAUGGGUGUGCCUCUUUUGGGGUCGGUUCACAGGUGGUGCAUGGCUGUCGUCAGCUCGUGUCGUGAGAUGUUGGGUUAAGUCCCGCAACGAGCGCAACCCUUGUUCACUGUUGCCAGCACGUUAUGGUGGGGACUCAGUGGAGACCGCCGGGGUCAACUCGGAGGAAGGUGGGGAUGACGUCAAGUCAUCAUGCCCCUUAUGUCCAGGGCUUCACGCAUGCUACAAUGGCUGGUACAGAGAGUGGCGAGCCUGUGAGGGUGAGCGAAUCUCGGAAAGCCGGUCUCAGUUCGGAUUGGGGUCUGCAACUCGACCUCAUGAAGUCGGAGUCGCUAGUAAUCGCAGAUCAGCAACGCUGCGGUGAAUACGUUCCCGGG